rnacentral:rRNA from 1 species
AGGGUUUGAUCCUGGCUCAGAAUGAACGCUGGCGGCGUGCUUAACACAUGCAAGUCGAACGGUAACAGAGGAGCUUGCUCCUGCUGACGAGUGGCGCACGGGUGAGUAAUGCAUAGGUAACGUGCCCCUUAGUCUGGGAUAGCCACUGGAAACGGUGAUUAAUACUGGAUACUCCUUCUUCCUUAAUGGAAGUUGGGAAAUUUUUUAGCUAAGGGAUCGGCCUAUGUUGUAUCAGGUAGUUGGUGAGGUAAUGGCUCACCAAGCCUAUGACACAUAGCGGGUCUGAGAGGAUGAUCCGCCACACUGGUACUGAGACACGGACCAGACUCCUACGGGAGGCAGCAGUGGGGAAUAUUGCACAAUGGACGAAAGUCUGAUGCAGCAACGCCGCGUGGAGGAUGACACAUUUCGGUGCGUAAACUCCUUUUAUAUGAGAAGAUAAUGACGGUAUCAUAUGAAUAAGCACCGGCUAACUCCGUGCCAGCAGCCGCGGUAAUACGGAGGGUGCAAGCGUUAUUCGGAAUCACUGGGCGUAAAGGGUGCGUAGGCGGUUUGAUAAGUCUGAUGUGAAAUCCUAUGGCUCAACCAUAGAACUGCAUUGGAAACUGUCAAACUAGAAUACUGAAGGGGCAGAUGGAAUUAGUGGUGUAGGGGUAAAAUCCGUAGAUAUCACUAGGAAU